GGGCGGUUAACUCAGUUGGUAGAGUAUCAGCCUUACAAGCUGAGAGUCACAAGUUCGAGCCUUGUACCGCCCA
rnacentral:tRNA from 1 species